CGGACCCGACUGCUAUUUGGGUGAGGAUAAGCCAUGCGAGUCGAAUGGGAUACCUAAAUUUCCCAUGGCAAACUGCUCAGUAACACAUGAUCAACUUGCCCUAUAGAGAAAAAUAACCUCGGGAAACUGAGGAUAAUUUUUCAUAGUUGAAUUGGCUUGGAAAAGUUUUUCAAUAAAAUGAAUAGGGAAAAUGGUUCUUAUUCGCUAUAGGAUAGGAUCGUGCUCGAUUAUGGUAGUUGGUGAGGUAAAGGCUCACCAAGCCGAUAAUCGAUAGGGGCCGUGAGAGCGGGAGCCCCGAGAUGGGUACUGAGACAACGACCCAGGCCUUACGAGGCGCAGCAGGCGCGAAACCUCCACAGUACACGAAAGUGUGAUGGGGUUACCCAAAGUGUUCAUUAUUGAACUGUGGUAGGUGAGUAAUGUCCCCUACUAGAAAGGAGAGGGCAAGGCUGGUGCCAGCCGCCGCGGUAAAACCAGCUCUUCAAGUGGUCGGGAUAAUUAUUGGGCUUAAAGUGUCCGUAGCCGGUUUAGUAAGUUCCUGGUAAAAUCGGGUAGCUUAACUAUCUAUAUGCUAGGAAUACUGCUAUACUAGAGGGCGGGAGAGGUCUGAGGUACUACAGGGGUAGGGGUGAAAUCUUAUAAUCCUUGUAGGACCACCAGUGGCGAAGGCGUCAGACUGGAACGCGCCUGACGGUGAGGGACGAAAGCCAGGGGAGCGAACCGGAUUAGAUACCCGGGUAGUCCUGGCUGUAAACGAUGCAUACUAGGUGAUGGUACGGCCAUGAGCCGUGUCAGUGCCGUAGGGAAACCGUUAAGUGUGCCGCCUGGG
rnacentral:rRNA from 1 species